rnacentral:misc_RNA from 1 species
AGAGCUGGGGGACCGAGGCCGAUCGGCAGCUCGUGGUCCCGAGGUGACCCUGGCCUUCUAGCACCGCGUGCGCAUCGACUCCCUCGUGCGCUCCUGCGCCGCGGGACUCUCGAAGCCCUUCGACUUCGCGUAGGCCCACGCCUUCUCCAGGGUCGGCACGGGCUCGGGGGUUUUGCACGACGUGUCGCCGUGGUCGAUCUCGACCUUGCCGAUCCGCUUCCCGGCGGCGAUCACCGACUUGCGCAGGGCGGCGCUGCGAGAGCCGAUCGCGAUCAGCGCAUGGAGCAUCGCUUCGCGCUGCGAGCUCGGGGAUUCGUGGAUCGAUUCUUCGAUCUCCGCGAGGUGCUCGGUGAACCAGGCAUCGGGCGUCUCGGAGUCCCGCAUCGCCAUCGUGCCGACGAGCGACCACCCGACGCAGCGCUUGUUCUCGUCCUUCGAGCGGAGCCACUUCUCGGACCGGCCUCGCGCAUUGGGUCCCUCGGCGGCGAGGCACGCAAUGUAGCCGGUGCACAUCCGGGCGCCCGGCGUUCCCGCCCAGCGGUCGAGGUCGGUCGGGGACAUCCGCGCCGGGUCGGCGAUCUUGACUGCCAGGUUGCGCGCGU